rnacentral:pre_miRNA from 1 species
UUUUUGAAUAUAAGAAUUGGAGGAAAUUAAACCCAAUAGCAAAAAGUAUUCAACAGCUUUCUUGUUGGGUUUAAUUUCCUCCAAUAUCUUACAUCCGGUAU